CAGCAGCCGCGGUAAUACAGAGGGUGCAAGCGUUAAUCGGAUUUACUGGGCGUAAAGGGCGCGUAGGUGGUUAUUUAAGUGAGAUGUGAAAGCCCCGGGCUUAACCUGGGAACUGCAUCUUAUACUGGGUAACUGGAGUGCAGUAGAGGGUAGUGGAAUUUCCGGUGUAGCGGUGAAAUGCGUAGAUAUCGGAAGGAACACCAGUGGCGAAGGCGGCUACCUGGACUGAGACUGACACUGAGGCGCGAGAGCGUGGGGAGCAAACAGGAUUAGAUACCCGGGUAGUCCCUGUCUCUUAUAC
rnacentral:rRNA from 1 species